GGUGUUAGUGACGAGUACAGGUUCCAAAUUCAUUUUACUAUGCUUUUCAGCUGAACCUUAUAAUUCUGCCCGUACAUGUCUUUUAUGUUAAAAUUUUGACUUUCAGCUUUGUUUUGAAGAAGGAUUCUCAACUCUGUCAGAGGCAUGCCAGGUUGAGACUGGAGGCAAUCCAGGUGUCCUCUUCAAGACGCACCCUAACAUCAACAAAGAGCUGUUUUUCAAUGGAUUGUAUUUUUUUCAUAAAAGAACUUUUCUCAAGUUUUUAGUUGUAAUAACUCACAUAUGACUCCAAUUUUGAGAUUCAAAUGGAAUGCUUGAUUAAA